AUGGGGAGGGUUGAGCCCGCAGGUGCCAUCGCCGGCAGCACGAAGGCAUCAUGGCCGGAGGUGGUGGGCUGGCCGGCGCACGACGCAGCGCUCCAGAUCAGCAAGGACAGGCCUGACGUCUCCAUCUCCUUCUACAUAAGCACGGGACGCUGGCCGCCGAGCCCGUUCCUCUCGCGUGUCAUCGUGGUGUCAGACGCGGCGACCGGCGUCGUCGUCCAGACGCCCUUCGUCGAACCCUUCUACCUUUCAAUUGGGAGAUUGCUUUCCUUCCAUAUUCUCCUUUUGGCAGCACCCGGCAAAUGCUUCGGAGGCAACAUUAAAGACCAAGAAGAGAAUAAUAAAAUCACAACCUCGUACACGGCUGGACGACACGGUGGCAAUGGCCAUCGGCUGAAUGGCGGCAUGGUGCAAGACGGCAAGAUCAGCCACUCAGCUACCACCCAACAACCUGCUGCGCACUGUGGCACGGCGGCAGCUAGCACGCUAUACCAGAUCAUGGGCCACAACCUCAGAUUGAAUGCUGUCACAGACCUGCAGGAAACGCAGAAAGAUGAUUCUGACGUUGAGGAGAAGGCGAGAAGCAGCCUGAAGCGCAUCCAGCCACCAUUUGAGCUGUCUGACCGUGUCACUAUUGGGCAUCAGCUUGAACGGGAAAGAAAACCAAGAGACAGAGAGGGGGUUGUGCAGUACAGCAAGCCUAUGCGGUACUGCCGGUUGCUCUACGACGGGACACAGCUUUUCGGGCACAUCCCGCUGCUCAUCUUAGCAUGGAUGCUUUUGACACCGAACGAGAAGCUCAGACACUGCAUUCUGAGGGCUCGGGCCAGGCUAAUCUCUCGCCUGGACGGACACCCGCCAAGCAAGCCAUUCACGCAUAUAUGA
rnacentral:rRNA from 1 species